rfam:Ipomoea nil DNA, scaffold: scaffold2283, cultivar: Tokyo-kokei standard.
GUGGGCGUGCCGGAGUGGUUAUCGGGCAUGGAUAGGAAUCAUGUGGGCUUUGCCCGCGCAGGUUCGAGGUUCGAAUCCUGCCGCUCACG